GAGGGUAUAGCACAGUGGUGGAGCGCAUGCUUAGCAUGCACCAGCCCCUGGGUUCAAUCCCCAGUACCUCCU
rnacentral:tRNA from 1 species